AGGCUCGUCAAUCGAAAUGAGUACAAUUUAAAUCCUUUAACGAGUACCAAUUGGAGGGCAAGUCUGGUGCCAGCAGCCGCGGUAAUUCCAGCUCCAAUAGCGAAUAUUAAAUUUGUUGCAGUUAAAAAGCUCGUAGUUGGAUCCAAGGUUAGGCAUGCCUGUCUGUUCUUAGUAGCAUGACUGUGUGUGUCUGCCUUUAUUAGUUGAAUGUUCAUUAUGGUGGUCUUCAUCGACUGCUAUGAUGUGCUCAACACGUUUACCUUGAAAAAAUCAGAGCGAUCAAGGCAGGCCUUCGUGCUUGUAUGUUGUUGCAAGGAAUAAUAGAAUAGGACUUCGGUUCUAUUUUGUUGGUUUUGAGAAUUGAAGUAAUGAACAAUAGAGACAGUCGGGGGCAUUUGUAUGGUGGCGUUAGAGGUGAAAUUCUGAGAUCGUCGCCAGACAAACUACUGCGAAAGCAUUUGCCAAGGAUGUCUUCAUUAAUCAAGAACGAAAGUCAGAGGUUCGAAGACGAUCAGAUACCGUCCUAGUUCUGACCAUAAACGAUGCCGACCUACAAUCGGGGGUGGUUUAUUAUAUUGACCCUCCCGGCUGUCCUCAGGAAACUUUAAGUUGGUUCUGGGGGGAAUAUGGUCUCAAGACUGAAACUUAAAGGAAUUGACGGAAGGGCACCACCAGGAGUGGAGCCUGCGGCUUAAUUUGACUCAACACGGGGAAUCUCACCCGGUCCGGACACUGGUAGGAUGGACAGAUUGAUAGCUCUUUCUUGAUUCAGUGGGUGGUGGUGCAUGGCCGUUCUUAGUUGGUGGAGUGAUUUGUCUGGUUAAUUCCGAUAACGAACGAGACUCUGUCCUGCUAAAUAGUCCAGUGGCAUCAAUCACUAUGUGAUUACAGCUGCUGUUACUUCUUAGAGGGAUUCGCGGAUUUAAACCGCAAGAAAUAGAGCAAUAACAGGUCUGUGAUGCCCUUAGAUGUCCGGGGCCGCACGCGCGCUACAUUGACAGUAGAAGCGAGUAUUUCUACCUGGUUCGAAAGAAUUGGGAAAUCUUCGAAUUACUGUCUCCACAGGGAUUGAGGUUUGCAAUUUUGCCUCAUGAACGAGGAAUUCCCAGUAGGCGCAAGUCAUCAGCUUGCGUCGAUUACGUCCCUGCCCUUUGUACACACCGCCCGUCGCUACUACCGAUUGAAUGCAUUAGUGAGGACCUCGGAUUGAGAACAUAGUGGCGCAAGUUACUUUGUUUUCGAAAAGUGGUUCAAAUUUGUGCAUUUAGAGAUAGUAAAAGUCGU
rnacentral:rRNA from 1 species